UACGGAGGGUGCAAGCGUUGCUCGGAAUUAUUGGGCGUAAAGGGUAGGUAGGUGGUCUCAUUUGUCUGGGGUGAAAGCCUUGAGCUUAACUCAAGAAGUGCCCCAGAAACGGUGAGACUGGAGUCCUGGAGAGGGUCGUGGAAUUCCCAGUGUAGAGGUGAAAUUCGUAGAUAUUGGGAAGAACACCGGUGGCGAAGGCGGCGACCUGGUCCUUGACUGACGCUGAGGCGCGAAAGCGUGGGGAGCAAACAGG
rnacentral:rRNA from 1 species